GGACCCUUCGGGAGCUUGCACAGGUGCUGCAUGGCUGUCGUCAGCUCGUGUCGUGAGAUGUUCGGUUAAGUCCGCUAACGAGCGCAACCCUCGCUGUGUGUUAUAUGUGUCACACGGGACUGCCGGUCUUAAGCCGGAGGAAGGUGGGGAUGAUGUCAAGUCAGCAUGGCCUUUAUAUCCUGGGCUACACACACGCUACAAUGGCCAACACAAUAGGUUGCUAAGCCGCGAGGUGGCGCCAAUCCAUAAAGUUGGUCUCAGUUCAGAUUGUAGGCUGCAACCCGCCUGCAUGAAGAUGGAGUUGCUAGUAACCGCAGGUCAGCUAUACUGCGGUGAAUACGUUCCCGGGGCUU
rnacentral:rRNA from 1 species